rnacentral:rRNA from 1 species
AACGGAAAGGCCCUGCUUGCAGGGUACUCGAGUGGCGAACGGGUGAGUAACACGUGGGUGAUCUGCCCUGCACUUCGGGAUAAGCUUGGGAAACUGGGUCUAAUACCGGAUAGGAGCCAUCUUUAGUGUGGUGGUUGGAAAGUUUUUUCGGUGUAGGAUGAGCUCGCGGCCUAUCAGCUUGUUGGUGGGGUAAUGGCCUACCAAGGCGGCGACGGGCAGCCGGCCUGAGAGGGUGUACGGCCACAUUGGGACUGAGAUACGGCCCAGACUCCUACGGGAGGCAGCAGUGGGGAAUAUUGCACAAUGGGCGCAAGCCUGAUGCAGCGACGCCGCGUGGGGGAUGAAGGCCUUCGGGUUGUAAACUCCUUUCGCUAGGGACGAAGCUUUUUUGUGACGGUACCUAGAUAAGAAGCACCGGCUAACUACGUGCCAGCAGCCGCGGUAAUACGUAGGGUGCGAGCGUUGUCCGGAAUUACUGGGCGCAAAGGGCUCGUAGGUGGUUUGUCGCGUCGUCUGUGAAAUUCUGGGGCUUAACUCCGGGCGUGCAGGCGAUACGGGCAUAACUUGAGUGCUGUAGGGGUAACUGGAAUUCCUGGUGUAGCGGUGAAAUGCGCAGAUAUCAGGAGGAACACCGAUGGCGAAGGCAGGUUACUGGGCAGUUACUGACGCUGAGGAGCGAAAGCAUGGGUAGCGAACAGGAUUAGAUACCCUGGU